ACUUCUUAAAAACCUGCUUCUGGAUGUUACAAAAGUUUUUAAAUGAGUGAUGAGAUUACUCAAGAAAGAACGAACUCUGAUCAGCUUACUGAAGAGUGUUGGAAAAAACAGCUAAUUACUGUGUGGCACCUCCAAAUCCAGAAUAAUCUGGGCUUCGAAAGACCCUUCACACUAUGGCUGCGUCCAUAGGAGGAUGGAGUCGGAUGUUGCAAACUGAGAAGUGUUUCUCAUCAGAGGGGUGGCAGGAGCAAAUGCAAUAGCAGUAGCUGCAGAGAACACCUCUGUCAUCACACGCUCCGGGCUACAGGGGAUGGCUUUCCUUACUGCUCUUAAUAAACAUCUACCUUGGUCCACUAGAAGAACUGGUCUGUAAGCCUAUCUGAAUUUCCGCAUCUGGAAAGGCUCAUGUUGUCUGUCAUGUUAGUGCACUGGGACAAGACUUCUGAUGGAAAUACUUAAUUCUCAGAGCGGUGCUGGAUAAUGAGGGGACGUGCCAAACGAGUGAUGCCUAUAAGCUAUGAAAGAUGAUGAAAGUGGGUAAAGAAGUAUCUAGAUAACAUCAAGGCAUUUACUAUAAGUGAAGAUCAUAAAAUUGCCCUGGCAGAGGAGGAGAAAACGCAAAAGUAUUUGGCAGGCUUUUGCGGAUCCUUCUCCUUGCCAAUGGCUGUGAAAACGAAUGCUUCUUGCAGCAUGUCCUGGGGAGCAGCACCCAGCGAUCCCAGCUAGCACAGGAGAGAGGCUCAAGCCCCAGCCUGCAGGC